rnacentral:lncRNA from 1 species
CAUCAUCAACCUUGGAAGGUAAACAUUAUAUUGUAUUACCAAAUAAGUGUUGGUUGCAUUUCCUAAACUAUUAUCCUGUUGAAAAAAAAUAAGGUUAGAGCUGAAAUUUCCUAAACUGAGUUUCAUAUAAAAUAUGUACUGAACAAUGUGAAUAAAACAAGAUUUCCUCGUGUAGUGGCAAGAUAGAUGAUGAGGUUGGAUUGGAAAAGGGAUAUGCAGCUUGAAGAGACACAAAAGAGAGCAGAUCAGUGGUUGACGGCAUUUGAGAUCAUGAAUAUCUGAUAAGCAUAAUAAUGAGAUAUGUGUUGCUUAAUGCACAAGUUAAGAUACCAUGAGACUUACUUGUGCACAUUAGACAAAGUCGGUAUUAUAAUAUUUGAUGUUAAACUUGCCAUUGACCAAUGAAAGCCCAAUACAAAAAUUGAGGAUGAAAUAUUUGAUGCUUAUGAAU